rnacentral:lncRNA from 1 species
AGUUCAAACAAGAAUUGGCCAAGAGCCUAGAGAAUCUGUAUCAUAGUUGUAAUAAUGGCUUCCCAAAAAGGUUGCAUAGAUAGAGAAUUAGAUCAUCACCGGAACCAAGAGUGAGGGAUUUCACAGAAAUCACCACAAAAUAGAUGCAACAAAGGCAUGUCACUAAAAAGGACUAAAACACCAAUAGAUGCUAUGCAGGAUCUGUAACGCACUAUGCUUUACAGGUAAAUUUGGCUUUUUCAUUCGAGAUCACAAAGCUCAUAAAAAAGUAGCAUCAAAUGCUCUCGGAACUUAGCCUAGUUUGAAGUUCAUAAUCCAUUACUAGCUCUUUUUUACGAUUACUGGAAUCAGGCCUCAUUGCUAAUCCAUAUAGACAGUUAUGUUCCGCCGAUUGGAUGCAUAAGUAAAUCAUCAUUCAAAGAUAAUUUGAUCCUGGAUAAAUAAAACCUUGCAGACAUAUCCCAGGCAAAAUAUGCCGGUAUAAUUAUGCACAAGAUACCAAAAACGAAACUUAAGCUUUCCUGCAAAGCUUGUGAAUGAUAUUUGCACAAACAAACCUCAACAGAGAUAGAAUAUUUCUCAACUCCACAAGCGAACUCUGCAUACUUGUUGGAGCUUGAUUCCUGUAAAGUUUCCUCCAUAACUUCU